AGGAAAAGAAACCAACAGGGAUUGCCUUAGUAGCGGCGAGUGAAGCGGCAAAAGCUCAAAUUUGAAAUCUGGCUCUUUCAGAGUCCGAGUUGUAAUUUGAAGAAGGUAUCUUUGGGUCUGGCUCUUGUCUAUGUUUCUUGGAACAGAACGUCACAGAGGGUGAGAAUCCCGUGCGAUGAGAUGAUCCAGGCCUAUGUAAAGUUCCUUCGAAGAGUCGAGUUGUUUGGGAAUGCAGCUCUAAGUGGGUGGUAAAUUCCAUCUAAAGCUAAAUAUUGGCGAGAGACCGAUAGCGAACAAGUACAGUGAUGGAAAGAUGAAAAGAACUUUGAAAAGAGAGUGAAAAAGUACGUGAAAUUGUUGAAAGGGAAGGGCUUGAGAUCAGACUUGGUAUUUUGUAUGUUACUUCUUCGGGGGUGGCCUCUACAGUUUAUCGGGCCAGCAUCAGUUUGGGCGGUAGGAGAAUUGCGUUGGAAUGUGGCACGGCUUCGGUUGUGUGUUAUAGCCUUCGUCGAUACUGCCAGCCUAGACUGAGGACUGCGGUUUAUACCUAGGAUGUUGGCAUAAUGAUCUUAAGUC
rnacentral:rRNA from 1 species